CUCACUAUAGGCAAGAAGUGUUUUCUGGAAUUUUACUUAAUGCAUACUGACUGGCUGCUUAAAAAGAAAAUUCUUUGGAAAGAGUACUUCUUCUGUUUUGAGAUGGUGCCUUUUUUGACCUCCACACAUUCAGAAGUCUGGAUGCCGUGUGUAACUCCACCCGUAGGUUCUGCUUUCUUACCUAAAAUGCCCUGAAGGAUCGGUGGUAUAGGACAGACUCACUUGCUGCUGUUUAAGGUUGAGAAAGUGCAUAUGAGAAGAGGCACUCUGUGAGCAAUGAAGCCGCCUUCCAAACAUAAAGGAACAAUUUAUACUUAAUGGUUAAAUGUACAUGUACAGUUGACCCUGGAGUAACAUGGGUUUGAACUGCAUGGGUCCAUUACCAGGCAGAUAUUCUUUGAUAAAUACAGUACAGAACUAUAAA